GAUCGCUCGGGCUCAAUGAAGUAAUAAGAAAGGCGGCGGAGCGCGGCUGGGCCCGCGCCAGGGGGGAGGGGGAGAGCCCCGCUCCGGUCCUGAGGAGAGGAGGAAGAGCGGCGGAUGGUUGCUGCGCGAGUUCUCGCUCUUGGUGAAAAAAUCUCUCUUCUCUGGAAAUUCAUUUCCAUUUACUUAAAGUUAAAUGGUUUGACUUUGAAUUUUCAUUAUCUGCUGUUGGAAGGAGCCUGUGACAGGCAUUAGCAACAUAGUGGAUGAAGAUUUUCUGGACACUGAAGGAAGCUUUCACUUUUUCUGCAUAGCUAUGAGAAUCACACUGAUGGAGUCCAGUGUCUCUUGCAACAGAAGAAAAUACCAUCAGCACAUCCACCUUACACAACCAGUCUUCUGCCCUUCUCUCCCAAGCCAGAAGAAUAGUCUGCAAUCUGAGUAAUAGUAUCUCCACUUCACUGAAAUACUCAGACAAAACAAGAUUUGUAACAUUAGACCAAGGGAGAAUAAAUUAAGAUGCUUACUAGCAAAAACAAUCUUCAACUUUUUAAAAAUUUAAAUCUAAACACUACUGACUUCUUAAAUGGCUAGAAGAACUUGAAUAAAAACAUCAGAUGCACGGCUUGAUCGUACUCUACUUUGUGCAGGUUCCUCCCUUUACCACUUCAUGAAUGUUGUCAUUCCACAAACUUUCAACAAUACCAUUAUAUUACAGUAGAAAAAGCAUCAGCAGGAAAUACUGUACACAAACUUGAAUUAGGUAUGUGGAGUAUGUAAACUCUUCAUUCUGGCUACAGAUUGUGAAAAUGGUGUGCAGAUUUAUUUUUUUCUUCCCAUAUCUCUAAGAUACUUCCUGUACUCUGGGUCCAUUUUCCAAUAAUAGUGUAAAAUUUUAUGUUUUAAGACAUAAGCACAACAUUUCCAAAUUUAAUUGAAUACUUAGUUCCUUAGGGUCAUGCGUGUCUUCGCAGCUCAGAACUAUGUAAUCAUGGAACUACUAAAGUAGAAAGCACAGGUAACGAAUAUCCCAUCAACACCAGGACAAGGCAUAAAACCAACUUAGUCUCUGUAUAGGGUAAGAAAAAAUAAAAAAAAAUACCUGAAACCCAGCCAACAAAUGACAUAAGAAUCCAAGUCAGCUGAUGCAGAUUAGUUUAAGCAGCCUCAAACCUAUCCUCCAAAGCUGCAGGUGGGCAAUGAUGAGAAAAAAAGAAGCAAAAUAUUUAAAUGCCCUGUCUCCUUCAAGCGUAAUAGAUGAAUUUUCUCAUUUUGCCUUAGCUGCAGGAAGCAAAUCAGGUAUCUCAGUACAGAAGAUAUUUAUGUAACUUUGAAGUCAUACUAGCACAUUACAUGAUAUUCAGGUCAGCUUGAAAACACUGGCACCUGACCAGCUACAUUAGUGCAAUACUCAGUUACACCAUUCACACCAACACCCCAUCUUUCAAUGCCAAUUCUUUGCAAAAGUUUGUCAGAUUCAACUCUCAUCAGAAGUUGUGCAGAUUUUUUAAUUUUUUAUGUACUUUUUUGAGCCUUGAGGCUGCCUUGUGAUAGAGCUUCAUAGAAAAGUUUCAAAGAAAUUACAUUACUUUUAAAGAUUUGUUUAUCUUGCAAAUUCAUCUAGAUUCUCUUCAACAGAAAAUUGAUAGUUCAGAACUUUAUUAAAGUCUUUAAACAAAACAAGAACUCUAUUGUAUAUUUGGACAUAUUCUCAAAGAACCCACAAGUAAACAGAAAUACAUAUAAAAAUACAUAUUGAAAUCAAUUUUGAUUUUGAGAGAGCAUCACAGUCAAUCCACGUGUAAGUCACUGAACACUGGGUUACUGGUUUUGACUGAAAGAAUUCUGCAUAAGAACAGCUAUGAUAAUAGAAAGGAUGAUUGACAAUCCUGAUAGCUUCUG